AGAAGGUGCACAAUCCCUGACUAUUUCCGUGGCGACUGGUACAGUCGUGAAUCAGGACUUGACAUUUUCACACAGAUAACUGCCAAUAAAUGGGAUAGCAAUAUGGAUGUAGAAGUGUUGAGUUGUGAGGAUUUGUUUAUCCAUCCAAACCCAGUACCUCAUGAGGAUAGAAACAAUAUAACAAUGCUUAUGGUCAGCAGUCGCGGCUUAGGUUGAUGUUAUUUUUAUGUUGAUGUGUUAUGGAGAACAGAAAACAUUCGGCAGUACAGGCAAGGUGAUUGUAUACCUGCUCCAGUUGGACACACUGUUUCUCUCAAUAUCUCCUGUAAAGCAGUAAAUCCUCUGUAUGGCCUUCCCAGCAAUGAAGACACUGCCACAAU